GCCUUAACCCGUAGAUCCGAACUUGUGUUGUUAAAUAGUCUAACCACAAGGUCGAUUCUAUGGGUCCAGGUUGGAUGGAAAAUUACAAACGAUUCUUCGAUUUCUUCAGAUAUCGAUGACCAUUGCUCGAAGGUAACAAAGACUAUUUCAAUUGGUUAUAGCCUUUUUAUUCCGUAAUGUAUGGUUUCCUUUGAUUCGAAGGUUUUGAUCCAACACUUCCGUUUAUGGACAUUAAAAUCGUUCAUCGGUAACUCGCACAUAACCAAGCGAUGAAAAGCUAUAAAAUUCGUCCUAGGGAAGUUGCAACAACUAAAACCAGGAUCUGGUAGACUGCUGAGAUUUCCAUUAGUCUAACGUUCUUUUUUCAUUCCUCGUCCAAAAAGCUAAAUUGUUAACAAGUAAACCCCUUCGGAAGAAUUUUUUUUAACCCCUGUCUCCGGCGGUAUGUAGACCUCUAUAUUGCUUGAUAUUGUUAAUGGAUGUGAUUUCAACUGGAACCGAUGACUUAAAUACAAGAGUCUUUUUACAGCUGGUUAAGUGAAAUAAUGUAAUACAUCUACCACUGUAUCUAGCAUGAUUGCGAUUUGUCAUUGUUUUAUUGUACUAGUACUACGAACGAUAAUUUUUAAUUAUUAUUAAACUAGUGUGUGUGUGUGAGAUAGAUUAAAUAUUGAAUCCUUUUUUUCGAAAGAAUUGUCAAAUGUUAUUUGUGUAGGCUAAUUUAAUAAAUUUUAAUUCUUCACAUUAAAACGAGCCCUUUUUUUCCAUCUAAUAAGAAUGUUUCUUCUGUUUCCAGUCAAAAAUUUUGAUUCAUCUGUUGUCUUGAAGAACAUGUGUGCCCGGUGUGAGGUAGUAGGUUGUAUAGUUGAGAACUACAUCCAUCAGGAGAACUGUACAACUUGCUAACUUUCCCUGGGACACACCCAGUCACCGAUAGAAGACUUCGUAACUGCCACAACGUGAUUCAGCCUUACACCAAUGAGGAACAAUCCCAUCCGUUCUUCCCUGUUCAACCACAUUCGAUCGGUCGAACGAGUCUAACUUCUCUCCUAGUAACGGUAGCUAAGCCUAUAUAUAAACUUACAAGUUGGUUAUUUUCGGCAGGGGUUACUGGUACAUAAACCGUAGAUUUUGAGUCGUUCAGCUACGUCCAUUUAGAUGUAUUAUGCUGCCAGAAAAGAUGGCACCGGUUAUAGAGAUCACCUGACCGACGGCAUCGUGGUCGUCAAGGUCGAUUCACAGUGAACUGUUCUCUGCGUAGUUUCUAGCACUUAGAAAGUAUUUAUAUCGCCUAUUCAUUCUAUUUUUUUUAUUUCACAUCAUUCUUAUUCGAUAGAGAAAAAAAUAUUAUAAAUUUUAUGGUUAUUUAUUACCAUAUUAUCGCUCCACAACUGGUUUUAUUUAACGGACAAUGCACAACCAGCAGUAGUCUAAAUGACCAAUGGGAAGGCAGAACGGGCAUUUGGCUAUCACCGGACCCAAUCGAUUAGUUGGAAGGAUGGCUGUUCCCAACUGCUGACUCCUGCUUGGCCACUCACUAGCCUCUGCAACACAUUCGCUUUAGUAACUCAAUCCAAUAAAAAAAGAACAUUCCUGUCCAAGGUCAUCCAAAUCUUGUUGAGAAGUGGUUUUCAUUCCAUUAAUGCACAUUGGAUCCAUAAUUUUCGUUUGUUUUAAAACUAGUUUGAUUAAUAUCCGCUUGGCAAAUCGAAUGAAAUACGUUACUUUUUUAUUGAUUUCAUUUUAUUAACAUAUGUGACUCGUUUAUAGCAAGCUUUUUUUAUAUUGUAAAAUCGAUUUUUUUUUUUUUUUUUAAAUUUAAUUUGAUUGAAUUCGAGAAAUAUAAUUA
rnacentral:lncRNA from 1 species